rnacentral:rRNA from 1 species
UGGGGAAUAUUGGACAAUGGGCGCAAGCCUGAUCCAGCCAUGCCGCGUGAGUGAUGAAGGCCCUAGGGUUGUAAAGCUCUUUCACCGGUGAAGAUAAUGACGGUAACCGGAGAAGAAGCCCCGGCUAACUUCGUGCCAGCAGCCGCGGUAAUACGAAGGGGGCUAGCGUUGUUCGGAUUUACUGGGCGUAAAGCGCACGUAGGCGGACUAUUAAGUCAGGGGUGAAAUCCCGGGUCUCAACCCCGGAACUGCCUUUGAUACUGGUAGUCUUGAGUUCGAGAGAGGUGAGUGGAAUUCCGAGUGUAGAGGUGAAAUUCGUAGAUAUUCGGAGGAACACCAGUGGCGAAGGCGGCUCACUGGCUCGAUACUGACGCUGAGGUGCGAAAGCGUGGGGAGCAAACAGG